rnacentral:ncRNA from 3 species
AGGCAGUGUUGUUAGCUGAUUGU